AGAGUUUGAUCCUGGCUCAGGAUGAACGCUAGCUACAGGCUUAACACAUGCAAGUCGAGGGGCAGCAUUUUAGUUUGCUUGCAAACUGAAGAUGGCGACCGGCGCACGGGUGAGUAACACGUAUCCAACCUGCCGAUAACUCCGGAAUAGCCUUUCGAAAGAAAGAUUAAUACCGGAUAGUAUACGAAUAUCGCAUGAUAUUUUUAUUAAAGAAUUUCGGUUAUCGAUGGGGAUGCGUUCCAUUAGUUUGUUGGCGGGGUAACGGCCCACCAAGACUACGAUGGAUAGGGGUUCUGAGAGGAAGGUCCCCCACAUUGGAACUGAGACACGGUCCAAACUCCUACGGGAGGCAGCAGUGAGGAAUAUUGGUCAAUGGGCGAGAGCCUGAACCAGCCAAGUAGCGUGAAGGAUGAAGGCUCUAUGGGUCGUAAACUUCUUUUAUAUGGGAAUAAAGUUUUCCACGUGUGGAAUUUUGUAUGUACCAUAUGAAUAAGGAUCGGCUAACUCCGUGCCAGCAGCCGCGGUAAUACGGAGGAUCCGAGCGUUAUCCGGAUUUAUUGGGUUUAAAGGGAGCGUAGGUGGAUUGUUAAGUCAGUUGUGAAAGUUUGCGGCUCAACCGUAAAAUUGCAGUUGAAACUGGCAGUCUUGAGUACAGUAGAGGUGGGCGGAAUUCGUGGUGUAGCGGUGAAAUGCUUAGAUAUCACGAAGAACUCCGAUUGCGAAGGCAGCUCACUAGACUGUCACUGACACUGAUGCUCGAAAGUGUGGGUAUCAAACAGGAUUAGAUACCCUGGUAGUCCACACAGUAAACGAUGAAUACUCGCUGUUUGCGAUAUACAGUAAGCGGCCAAGCGAAAGCAUUAAGUAUUCCACCUGGGGAGUACGCCGGCAACGGUGAAACUCAAAGGAAUUGACGGGGGCCCGCACAAGCGGAGGAACAUGUGGUUUAAUUCGAUGAUACGCGAGGAACCUUACCCGGGCUUAAAUUGCAACAGAAUAUAUUGGAAACAGUAUAGCCGUAAGGCUGUUGUGAAGGUGCUGCAUGGUUGUCGUCAGCUCGUGCCGUGAGGUGUCGGCUUAAGUGCCAUAACGAGCGCAACCCUUAUCUUUAGUUACUAACAGGUUAUGCUGAGGACUCUAGAGAGACUGCCGUCGUAAGAUGUGAGGAAGGUGGGGAUGACGUCAAAUCAGCACGGCCCUUACGUCCGGGGCUACACACGUGUUACAAUGGGGGGUACAGAAGGCGGCUACCUGGUGACAGGAUGCUAAUCCCAAAAACCUCUCUCAGUUCGGAUCGAAGUCUGCAACCCGACUUCGUGAAGCUGGAUUCGCUAGUAAUCGCGCAUCAGCCAUGGCGCGGUGAAUACGUUCCCGGGCCUUGUACACACCGCCCGUCAAGCCAUGAAAGCCGGGGGUACCUGAAGUACGUAACCGCAAGGAGCGUCCUAGGGUAAAACUGGUAAUUGGGGCUAAGUCGUAACAAGGUAGCCGUACCGGAAGGUGCGGCUG
rnacentral:rRNA from 2 species